UACGUAGGGGGCAAGCGUUGUCCGGAUUUACUGGGUGUAAAGCGCGCGUAGGCGGAAGGGUAAGUCUGGCCUGAAAGCCCCCGGCUCAACCGGGGAGGGUGGCUGGAAACUGCUGUUCUUGAGGACGAUAGAGGAGUGUGGAAUUCCUGGUGUAGCGGUGAAAUGCGUAGAGAUCAGGAGGAACACCCGUGGCGAAGGCGGCACUCUGGGUCGGUACUGACGCUGAGGUGCGAAAGCGUGGGGAGCAAACAGG
rnacentral:rRNA from 1 species